AUGAUCCUCCCGCCUCGGCCUCCCAGAGUGCUAGGAUUACAGGCAUGAGCCACUACGCCCGGCCUGGAGCCCAAUUUUAAGAUUGGAGUUUUAAGCAGGAGAGCAUGUAAAGGACCCUCUUCCUGCACCCCAAAUGACUACUGGAAUGUCAAGAAUUUCUUUACAACAGGAGAUUGCUAAGCAAUAGCUGUAAUCUUGAUAGAACCUAGAAGCAUCACUGUGAAAACAUCAUAAUACAAGGUCAAAGCAUUACAAGUAAUUCCAGACAGCAUUCUUAAUAAUAGUUCCUGUUACUAGGAUGUCGGUUUUGGUUAGACUGAGAUUUUAAUUAGCUACUGCUCACUAAGGUCUCCAUGAAGAAGACUUUCCCUUUUAUAGUGUGAUACAAGGUAGGAAAACAGUAGGAGGCGGCAUAUGGCGCGUUGGCAGUUGAGGAAACAGUAGAAACGAGCAGGUCUUUCUGCCCACCCUUCACCCCUGAAGCAGGCCCUGAAGGAAUUCUGGCCUUGUCUGAGGUGGGCCACAGACCCUCAUUUGAGAGGCGACCUCCCUAGAGCUGGAAGUAUGUCCCGGAAGAUGUCCAGAGAUGCCAAGAAGAGUCCAAACACACAGGCCUCCUCGCUGCGCUGACCGUGAAAUCCUUUUGCCUUCCAAUCAUACUUCUGCAUGACUCACAAAAAAUUCAAGUUUCCCCUGUUUUCUUUGGGUCUUCGUUUCCGAAGGCUCCCGUGCACGCCCAAAACGUCAGUAAACGCGGAUGCCUUUCUCCUGUCAA